AUGGCGCUCCAGCCGCUGCUCCGCCUCCUCCUCCGCCCACCCCCACCCCCACCCCCGCCGACGCACCGGACCCCACACCUCCCAGCCCCUUCCCCCACUCGCCGCGCCACCGCCGCCGCGCUCCUCCUGCUCGCCGUCGCCGCGCCCCCUCCGCGGCCGGCCCGCGCCGAGGACGACGUCGACGAGCCCCACGUCGUCCGCCUCUUCGAGGAGGCGACGCCGUCGGUGGUGUUCAUCAAGGACCUCCUCGUCGCCCCGCCGCCGCGGACGCGGGGGCGUGACGGCGGGGGAGCGCAGCCGGUGGAGGACGAGGAGGGGGGCGCCACGGUGGAGGGGACCGGCUCCGGCUUCGUGUGGGACUCCCUGGGCCACAUUGUGACAAAUUACCAUGUGGUUGCAAAAUUAGCUGGGGAUGGAUCCGAGUCUCAUCGCUGCAAGGUGUUCUUGGAGGAUUCAAGUGGUACUAGUUACUCAAAGGAAGGGAGGCUAAUAGGAUAUGAUCCAACAUAUGAUCUUGCUGUUCUGAAGGUUGAUGUGGAUGGUGAUAAGUUGAGGCCUGCUCUGCUUGGCACGUCACAGGGCUUGCGAGUUGGGCAGAGCUGCUUUGCUAUUGGGAACCCUUUAGGAUAUGAACACACCCUAACUACUGGGGUGGUUAGUGGACUGGGGAGGGAGAUACCAUCUCCCAAUGGGAGGGUGAUUCGUGGGGCCAUACAGACAGAUGCUGCUAUAAAUGCUGGUAACUCAGGAGGCCCACUAAUUGACUCUUAUGGCCAUGUAAUUGGAGUUAAUACAGCUACAUUCACACGUAAAGGAUCUGGAAUUUCAUCUGGGGUGAACUUUGCCAUCCCUAUCGACACCAUUGUACGGUCGGUACCGAAUCUCAUAGUGUAUGGAACUGAUGUGAGCAACAGGUUUUAUUAA
rnacentral:rRNA from 1 species